rnacentral:sRNA from 1 species
UAUAAAAUUGAGAAAUCAAUAAGUGCAGAUAAAGAAAGGUGUUUUGGUAUGGAAACAAAAUCAUUUGAUGGCUGUAAAAUUUCGUUUGCGAAACAACAACAAAUUUCAGCGGCCAUUGCGAAAGCAGAAUAGAAUACCAACCCUUAAUGAAUUGUAAAUAUAACCCUCUGUGUCAGAAUUCACUGAAUAAGACUUGACAUCCUAAAAGAUGUUCAUGAGGCUUAUCCACCUUAUGUUUUCGCAAGUGACUUAAACUUCUAUUAGUGAAUCCUGCCUGUGUGUCAAGCGGAUUUAAAAAUGUGGUCUCACGCAAACAGGUGUUAAGCUUGAUGGCAAGAUGUCGGAUUGCACCAUAUGAUUUGUGGCUUUUGUACAAAUGAAACCACCUUUAAUUGCUUUGCCAUACCUGUGUGUGUAGAUUAUAACGAUAUGAGAAAAAGGAAAACGUCAAAACUAUUACAAGAGCUGAACGAAACUACAACAAAAACUCUCUAAAAAAACACCAAUGUCCAAAGGUAAUAUUAAACCCUGCAAUUAUUUAAUCUAGAAAAACCAUAA